GCGCGAAACUUUCCCAAUGCACGAAAGUGUGAGGAAGAUAUCUGAAGUGCUCUCUCUUAGGAGGGGGCUUUUCUGGAGUCCAGACCGCUUCAGGAAUAAGGGGUGGGUAAGACGGGUGCCAGCCGCCGCGGUAAUACCCGCGCCCCGAGUGGUGACCGCGAUUAUUGGGCUUAAAGCGUUCGUAGCCGGUUUUGUAAGUCCCUGGUGAAAUCGAUUGGAAAACCAAUCGGCUUGCUGGGGAUACUGCAUUACUUGGGACCGGGAGAGGUUAGAGGUACUCCAGGGGUAAGGGUAAAAUCUUAUAAUCCUUGGGGGACCACCUGUGGCGAAGGCGUCUAACUAGAACGGAUCCGACGGUGAGGGACGAAAGCUAGGGGAGCGAACCGGAUUAGAUACCCGGGUAGUCCUAGCUGUAAACGAUGCCUACUAGACAUCGGAAAUCUCAAGGGGUUUUCGAGUCGGAGGAAACCGUUAGUAGGCCGCCUGGGGAUACGGUCGCAAGGCUGAAACUUAGGGAAUUGGCGGGGGA
rnacentral:rRNA from 1 species